rnacentral:lncRNA from 1 species
ACCAAACUAAGUUGCCGUGAUUCAACUCAAAGUCAUUGUAAAUAACUGAUAUGAAAUAGUUUGUAGGUCGAGUAUUACAAAUCUGUGUUUGUUUGUUAGGCUGCAGUCCACUUUCUUACAAUACCAGGGUGUGAUGAAGACAAAAAGACCUCUUGAGUUUUGGAAGUUUAGAAGCUCUGACCCUGCCAAGCAUAGUUGGGAAGUUUUCUUUCUCCAGAUAGAGGGAGCCGAAGGGAGUGCUCAGAGUUUCAUCUUCUGACCCCUGUGAUCACGGCCUGCAGCCUGUAUUUAGAAUCCA